AUUGCUUCUCUCGUACCGUGUCUCUGUGUCCGUUCCUUUAAUAUUUCCAAAUAACAAACCGAACGAAACCGAAGGAAUACAGAAAAAUACAAGUAAUAAAACUAAAAUGGUUAGAGUUAGAACGCAUAAAACAGGCGAACAAAAUUAAGGAAAACGAGUAGAACGUUAAAAGUAGCGCGAGUCUACCAGAUCCAUGCCCGUCUAACCGCGUUCCGUCGACCCACGCGCCUAAACGGAGAGUUCGGAGCUAUAUGUUUAUUCGAAUAAAAGUUUACCCAACCCGAACGCAGGGAGGAUCGAUCGAAUGUUCUUGUUUCCCCCGUUGUCGUAACCCUGCCAAGUAUAGUCGCAGAAUGUCCCGUCGUGUUUCACAGAAAAGUUGCGCGUGACGUAAAGAUGCGAUAGGCGCGCUGACGUCACGUCGUCUCCCCUGUAAGCGUCGUCGGGGUUUACGAUACCCAGGGGGCAAGGUUCGCUUCUGCUUUAGUAGCGGGUAAUCGCGUGGAAGAGGGUUACGUGACGUCACCUACUCGAUGAUCGAAUGCGUACCUCGCGGAUGUCCGUCGUGCAUUCAUGUUUAAUUUGCCACGAUGAUCGGCUAUCCGUGAAACGCGCGUGUCGUUACACCUUAAAAGGCAAAGAGCGGCUUCGACGACGAAAGAAUAUAGCGUAGGAGUAGCGUAGGUCGCCUGUCUCUGCUCGUAAAGGCGAUGGGGUGGACAAAACAAAAGUUUUCGAUAGUAAAUUAAACUAGAAUGUCACCUCCGAGGGAACAUCGCGAGUGCUGUGCAAGCAUUUGAAUAAAAAUAUAUGGAGCCGCGUCGUGUUUAACAUUAUUUUGUUUUAAGCGACCGUUGAAUGUUUGCAUAGCGUUUUCACGGUGUUCGCGUCACGGAGAUUCAACGAUACUCAUGUUCACGGUUUCACGAUUACGCUGAUCUAGAUAAAUAGACGUUUCAGCGAGAUACUUGGAGUUAUGAACGUUCGCUUCCUCUCGUUGGGAUAAUAUUUAUAUAUUCCUCCGUUAUUCGCAGUGCUUAACUUCGCAACCGUGGCUCGCGUUUCGCGCGUAAGCGCUACUUGCGUAGUGAAUAAAUCUGACAAUGUGACCAACUCUUCUCUGCUUUCCUUUAAUGUACAAACCAUUUCCCCGAAUUCUGUUCGAUGAAACUGUGUCAGCUAUUGAUCAACGUCUUCUGGUCCCACAGUCACGUAUGCACCUAUUUCGAUUCCUUCCUGAAAUUCAACUACUAUAUUGGGUACUCGGAAUUGCGUAAUCGACGUCAUUGGGCCUGAUCGUCGAUGAAGCUGCGACACUCUUCGAGGAAGGACACCCGUUCUCCGAUGAAUACCUGCACGUGUAUAAAAGCAACGUCGGACCCUCCGAUCAGGGAUCAGUCCAUCGCGGCUAUUCGUGCGAACAUGAUCGAGAUCGUGUUUCUGCUCUUACUCGGAAUCUGCGGGGCAUCGAGUACACCUGUACCGUCUUACGCCGAUGGGAACCUCUCGAAUCACACGGAAAUGGAUUUAUCUCCGCUUCCAGGCUCGGGAAAUCUAGCUGAAAAAGCGAUUCCGCU